rnacentral:rRNA from 1 species
GACGAACGCUGGCGGCGUGCCUAAUACAUGCAAGUUGAGCGCUGAAGGUUGGUGCUUGUACCAACUGGAUGAGCAGCGAACGGGUGAGUAACGCGUGGGGAAUCUGCCUUUGAGCGGGGGACAACAUUUGGAAACGAAUGCUAAUACCGCAUAAAAACUUUAAACACAAGUUUUAAGUUUGAAAGAUGCAAUUGCAUCACUCAAAGAUGAUCCCGCGUUGUAUUAGCUAGUUGGUGAGGUAAAGGCUCACCAAGGCGAUGAUACAUAGCCGACCUGAGAGGGUGAUCGGCCACAUUGGGACUGAGACACGGCCCAAACUCCUACGGGAGGCAGCAGUAGGGAAUCUUCGGCAAUGGACGAAAGUCUGACCGAGCAACGCCGCGUGAGUGAAGAAGGUUUUCGGAUCGUAAAACUCUGUUGGUAGAGAAGAACGUUGGUGAGAGUGGAAAGCUCAUCAAGUGACGGUAACUACCCAGAAAGGGACGGCUAACUACGUG